CAGGUGUUCGCCGAAAAACCUUUAAAGAGUAGGCA
rfam:Marine bacterium AO1-C Bin2_contig__2_len_1495235_cov_100.329_ID_3, whole genome shotgun sequence.